rnacentral:tRNA from 1 species
CGGAUGUGGCGAAAUUGGUAGACGCACCAGAUUUAGGUUCUGGCGGGAGACCGUGGGGGUUCGAGUCCCUCCAUCCGCACCAA